GGAGAGGUGCUGGAGUGGUCUAUCAGGCACGCCUGGAAAGCGUGUGUCGCCGCAAGGUGACCGUGGGUUCGAAUCCCACCUUCUCCGCCA
rnacentral:tRNA from 14 species